AUGUUCUGAGGGUAGGAUUGGGGUGGCUGGUUUUCCUCUUCUGUGUUCUCUAACUGCCCCGUAACGCAGAUGAUGGUCUUAUAAUGAGAAGAAGUAAUAGCUGUGUUAUCCUUGAGCUUAGGAGGCAAGACAAGUGUGUUUGAAAUGAAAAGAACAAGUCUUUUCCAAAGUAGUCUCCAUGGAGAUUGUGGGUGCUCUGACACUGCCACAUGGGUCACAGCACCCGACCCAGCCCCCUAAUGUCCCCGCCUCCCAUUCCAGCUCACCAACCACCAGGAGCUGUGGGCCUUCAUCGUCACCAACCUGGCGAGUGUGUAUAUACGGGAAGGAAAUAGACACCAAGAGGUAGUAGGUGACAUGCUUCAUGUUCGCUCUACAGUCUGCUGGAGAGGAUCAACCCGGACCACAGCUUCCCUGUCAGCUCGCACUGCCUCCGAGCAGCCGCCUUCUAUGUGCGUGGGCUCUUCUCCUUCUUCCAGGGACGCUACAACGAGGCCAAGCGAUUUCUGCGGGAAACUCUGAAGAUGUCCAAUGCUGAGGACCUGAACCGGCUCACA
rnacentral:sRNA from 1 species